rnacentral:lncRNA from 1 species
GUACGUUCUUUGUAUUAUACAGAGUACAAACUUACAUUUAAACAUUUAAGGUCAAGUUUACAAUGUUACCUUGAACCGUAACUUCAACAAACGUUUGAGGCUGAUUGCCCACUUAUAAGUAACUAUAGACCAUAUAGGCAUAUACUCAACAAAAUAUAACAUAAGAUUUUGAUGUGGAAGUCUUUUUUGGAGAUCAUCCCAAUUUUUUGAUAAUUUUAAGCUCUAGGACUUGACAUCUAGUUGUGAGAUGCUUUGACUUAUUUCAGUCUUAUAGCCCUUAGAUGAAGCAGGGUUCAUCUCUAAGUCCAUUUUGGUUUGAGUUACAUCAUCAUUAUAUACAAAGAAUUUGGCAAUAAUAAGAAAGAAAAAGAAGUUGACAACACUUAACAAGGCCAAAAAAGCAUAAUAAUAAUCUAAAUGUGAGAUAUUUAGAUUAUCUAAAAUCCAACCUUUAUGACCAUGUUUACUUGUGAGACGAGCAACAUUUGAUAGAAGAAAAGUACUCAAAAAAUUUCCCAUGCUCAAGGAUGUUGUAGCAUAUGAUGAUCCAAGGCUUUUCAUAGAUUCAGGUGCUUGAUCAUAGAAGAACUCUAUCUUAGCAAUUUCCACAAACGUAUCAGCAAUCCCCAUCAAAGCGAAUUGAGGGACGAGAAUGAAAAUAGAAAGAGGGGUUGUAUCGAGCUUGCCUAAAAGAUUGUGUUCUCUUGCAACAUUGAGUCUCUUCCUCUCUAUAAGACACGAAACAACCAUUACGAUGACGUGAAACACAAGGCCAAUUCCUAUUCUUUGUAGCAUUGUAAUUCCUCUUGGAUUCUUUGUGUAGCGUCGGAUAAUAGGAACAAAAACACGAUCAUAGAUUACAGUGCUUAUAGCCAGGAAGAUAUGUACAAAUGCUAUGAGACUUGCUGGAGGGACUUUAAAAUGAGCUCCCAGUCUCCUAUCUAGAGUGGUGCCUUGUUUGACGAAGAGUGUGUUUGUUUGAGCGAAAAUUAUGCUUGGAAUACAUGUUGCAAUCAAUAUAGGGAUCAUUUUUGUCAUUUGUUUUGUUUCCUCAAUUUGUGUCACAGUGCAAAGCAUCCAUGGUGAAGUUUGGUCGGUCUUCACUGCAGCUUUGUCAAGGAAACUACAGACAUUUGUACAUGUUUUAAUUAUAUACUUAUGAUUUCACCUUAGAUUGACAUUACGUGAUUCACACAUGUUAGUAUCCAACACUAACACGACAUUCACAUUACGUGAUUACAUUCAAUCACUUAAAUUUUUCAAAAGAUCAUUACUAGUGUCUUCGUGUAUGUGUGUCAGACUUCGGUGGUUGAUAGAUAAUAAAUUUAUGCGACAUGAAAAAACAAACUAAUUUAUGCAGUGAAACUUUAAGUGGUAAGAAAUACUACUAAAAACUAACCUCAAUGAAGAACUGUGAUUAAUUCUAUACCUUCCGUUACUAGUAUACUCUUCAAUGCUCACCUCAUGCAGCUCUUUUUGAUCAUUUGGGACAUUUAAUUUCCACUUUCUCAUAGCAGCAACAAAGACUUGAACCAUUCUAGUUAAAGGACUUCCAGAAGGCAAUUUAUGUCUAUAAAUUGGUGUUCCAAACAAAAACACCAAUGUUGAAAAAACAAGCAAUAUGGUUGGAAUCCCAUAACCAAGGGCAAAACCAACAUUGUCUUGUAUGUAGACUAAUACUGUUUCGGCUAAAAUGGCUCCAAUUAUAAUGUAGAACACCCACCAAUUGUAAAAGGAAAGUUUUUGAGACUUCUCUUUCGGCUCAAACUCAUCAAAUUGGUCGGCUCCAAGUGUGGUGAUGCUGGGCUUAAUUCCCCCUGUGCCUGCUGCAAUGAUGUACAAAGCAAAGAAGAAAAUACCAAUUUGUAGUGAUGAAGCUUUUUGGCAAUCCUGUUUUUCUAUCCCUACAGCACAUGGUGGUGGUCUCAGCGUUGGUAGUGAUACUGAAAGAGUCAAUAAACACAUUCCCUACAGAAAAAAAAAAAAAAGAAGACUUAUCACAUCUAUACUUGCUAAAGUAGAGAUAUGACUAAAAAGAUUUGCAACUGCAAUUUGAAUGAUGCAUUGAGAUUUUUUAUGUCACAAUGACUCUAAUAACUGAGAUAUCAUGUCCGUGAGAUGUCAAUUUAGUAUUAAGAAUUUAUUCUUGUCACUUUCAAUGACAUAAUUUAUAUUCCAUCAAAGAUGGUUUUAAAAUGGAUUAAUGAGACUAUAUUAACAGUAUUUAAUUAAGAUUUUCCACAAUAACAAAUAUUGUAUAGGAAAAUACUAUUUAUCGCUAGUUGCAGCUUCGUGAAUUUUCAGGAUCGUGUAUUAUUUACUCAAACUGCACCAUUAUCCUCCCUGUUUUCCAUUAAGUUAGAGUUGAAUGUUUGACUCUUCUUUUAUUAAAGCAGCACGUAGCGUUCACAUGAUAUUCGUGAAUAAACGUUAACUUGAUAUAGCAAGGCUCUAUUGUAUAUACAGCGAAAAUUCAAAACCUUAGAAUUGAAUAUCUUACCAAAAAGUAAAUGCCAGAUGAUACGACAAAGGUCCAAUAUCGGCCAAGAUAGGCGUCGGCUAUGUAAGCCCCAAUAACUGGCAGGAUCUUAACUGUACCUGCCCAGUUAGUGACAUUGUUUGCAGAUUUGACAGUACCCUGAUGGAGCUUCUUUGUUAGAUACAACACUAGAUUUGAUGAUAUCCCAAAGUAUGUCAACCUUUCAAUCACUUCAGAGCCUAUAAUAAACACAUUGAUUUUUCAUAUUUAGAAGUGACAAUUGUUCUUUGUGCUACAUGUGAAAACAAAUGAAGUUGUUGAGCGUAUUGUAAAAAAUAAGUUACUAAUGUACUAUACUAUAUUUGUUGUAGAUAUUAAAAUGCACCCAACUGUAAAUAUUAACAAAAUUAUCAUUUAGCCCGUUAGAUUGCUAUAUGCCUUUUAGGCGUGACACUCAACGGUUGUGUUCGGUACUAGGUAUUCAAUUUAAGGAGGACCGACCGUGGAGCAAGGUUGAGGGCUACUAAUCCAAAUACGCCCAACUCUAGAAUGGCCGACUAGGGAUCCUAGACCAAGGAUUGACCAUGUCAUAUGUUUUCUGAGUGAGACAUGAACUGGGAACGAGUUAACCCAGCAAGAUCGUAUGCAAGCUCAUACCUAGCCAUGGCUAUCAUACUCGGUCGGUUGGAUAAAGCACGGUAAAAGACCCUCUUCAUUCCAAUGAGCCGCACAUUUGCAGUUUUUGUACUUAACUAAUCAUUGGCAAUCAUGAGAUCAGAAUAUGUGAAGGGACCAUUCACCCUACUUAGGGGUAGACCCAAACCUUUGACCUUUGAAAUGAAUUGCUUAUAAAAAGAGGGGUAGCCACUGACUUUUGGCGACGGCAGUGACAUUAACAAGAAACAAACUUUUGUUAAAAAAAACAAACAAACUUUGUUUAAAAAAAUAAAGUUUAUAGUUUUCCAAUAUAUAUUAAUUAGUUUUAUUGAAAAAAUAAGAGUAAUGGACAAAGGGUACAAUUGACAAAUCAUACUCUUAAAAAUACCAAAACGACAGUUAAAUAGGAACGCUAAAUUCGCACUAGAACGACACUUAAAAAUGAACGGAACAAGUGUUUGCUUAGAAAUAAAAAAAAAAAAAAAGACAAACUUUUGCCUCGAGUUAAAAAUUUAUAUCAUUCAAACAUAAUUUGCUUCACUCCAAAUCAAAUACAAUUAAGUCAAUUUAUUAAUCAUUUGAUUGACUUCAAAUGGAUAAUGAGUUCUAAAUUAUUAACUUUUUUUUUUGGUUUGUAGAAGUUGUAGUAAACAGUUAAACACUACUGAAGCUUAUAGUAAUAUUCAACUACAAAGUCUUAAGUUCGAACCUAACAAUUUCAGCAUUGAUAGUUUAGCCGUACUUUACGGAUCGAUCAUUCAACAUUUUCUACUUAGAAACAGAGAAUUAAGAAGAAAAAAAUUGAGGGGUAACUUCACCAAAUUAAACACCAUUCCAAACAUACAUAAAAAGUUUGAGUAUGGCAAUAAGGGACGCAAGAGGUUGUUGUAUAUACCUACUAUGAAGGAACAAGCUCUCCAUCUUCCUGUAUUUGAUCUUAAAACUGGUCUACCUUUAAGGUCCACUGUCCCAUCUUCAGUAUAAUCUUCUUUUCCAUUUUCUCCUAACAUUGUCAUGAUGUUUGAGAAUAAUUAUGUGCUGUUUCUAACCUCUGUUGAACGUUAAUUUAUACAUUAACUAAUUGUCCAAUUGCUUGCAAAAAAAUAAAAAUAAUACUAGUUGCAAUGUACGUCUUGUUUUAUACUUUUGUCAUUUAUUCAAAAUUUGUCCGUUUCUCUAUUCUUUAUUGGUAACAUUUCCAUUAAAUUAUUAAUGUGAGAUUGUCAGAUCACAAAAUGUGUCAUAAGUUUUUUUUAACUGUAUUAUUGGCACGGAAUUUACCACAUCUUCGUCGAGGAACCUAUGGAGAAACAAGUUGAGUUCUCCUUCUCAAUUGAAUUUUGUUUGCUACGCAAGAGUUAGAUAUCAAACCCCUAAUCACUUAUUUUAAGGGUUCAAAUUUCUUACCACUUGUAACGAUCCUUAAAAUCUAUCAUAAGUUAUAAGUGAACAAAAACAAAUAUGUGCCGAUUAAAUUGGAUUAAGUUUUGGUCCAUUAUGGAUCAAUACUUAGACAGGUUCAUACUAAACGGCACCUUUAGAGAUUAAGGAGGAUAUGCACGACUUCCGUAUAAAACAAGAGAGUAAAAGCAUGUAGGGAUGACGAUAGAGUACUGAAAUAAUAAAUUCAUGUAUGGAAAUUAUUAUUUUUUGAAAGAAAUGUACGAAAAUUAUUGAUGAGUCAUAAAUUUGGUAAUUUAGUCCUCACCAUGUUUCAUGAACAUUUUUUUAAUAAAUCUUUCACGACCUUGAAUUUGUCAAAGCAUGACAUUUUUCAGGAGUUAUAUAACUCAAGUUGUUAAUAAAAGUUUCGUUAAGAUAAAUCGUACAUGAGAACAUGAGUUUGAUAACAAAAUAGGUUUUACUUACCUCAUGUCCAUUAUUAGAGCCCAUUUACCUUGAAAAUCGUCUGAUUAAUAAAAAUGAAUGACAUUUUCUACUUUUAAUCACGUCUUUAUUUUUUUUUUUUGUCUCUGUUUAUUUGUUUUUCCUCCUUUUUUUUUUUUUUUUUUGUCUUUCUCUCUUUACAUUCUUUUUUUUUAUUUUUUUUUAUUUUUAAAUUUACUAUUGUGAUAGCUCUACUCUUUGAUUGUUGUUUUCUAAACUUAUAACUAAAAACUAUGAAUGAAGAGAAGUUGGCAAGUUUUGUUUGAUUGCGCAAAGCGAGUUGAAUUGAUUGCAGGAAAAUAAAAUGUUUUGAUUUAGAUUCUUUCUUUAAAAAAAAAAAUGUUUUGAUUUAGAUGUUUAGCGUUGAUUAGGAUUCUUCGAAUCUCAUGACUCUAAAAAACUUUAUAAAAGAAGGUUAAUUGUUAUGAGACAGUGAUGUUUCUAUAGAAUGCUCUUAGCAUUUGUGCCUAGACGAGGGCUAUACUAACAAUUUUCAAAAGAUAAAUCAUAAUCUAACUAUCAUACUUUAAAAUCCCUAAUUAACUAAAGAUGAGUAAGCAGCUUUCGUAUUGUUCUUGUCCAGGUUAGAGCAAGGUCGUCAUUCUUAACCUUAACCUAGAGAACAAUAUAGAUACCUAGGUUUGUGAGGCCUAGAGUCGCAAAGCAUUAUAAAGAUCUAAACAUAUGAAAAUUAAAUAAGACUUAGAACAUAACUCAAUAAAUAUGUUUGCAUUAAUUAAAUCCAACAAAUAAAUAGAGGUUCAUUUUAGAACCCUAAUCUUAGAGUGUUUAGUUACUCAUGGUAACUGAAUACAUAAACAAAAGAAAAGAUAAACAUACUCCAUAAUAAGUGAGAGGAGAAAAUUCCUCUUUGAUUCUCUUGAUGCCAUCCUUGUCUUGAACCAUUAGGUUUAUGAAUGAGUUUAAAUUGGAAUUCUGGUUUUUUUUUCUCCCAACUCAACUUGAAAAAUUAGCAAAAAACUGUUUAAGGUCCAGAGUACAAACUUACAUUUAAACAUUUAAGGUCCAGUUUACAAUGUUACCUUGAACCGUAACCUCAACAAGUAGUCACAACUAUGGACUUAAUUGAACCUUCCUCAAUUAAAGAACAUAGAAACUUUGUUUUGUGUUUUCUCUAGGAUAUGACAUCUAGUUGUGAGAUGCUUUGACUUAUUUCAGUCUUAUCGUUAGAUGAAGCAUGGUUCAUCUCUAUGUCCUUUUUGGUUUAAGUUACAUCAUCAUUAUAUACAAAGAAUUUGGCAAUAACAAGAAAGAAAAAGAAGUUGACAACACUUAUCAAGGCCAAAAAAGCAUAAUAAUAAUCUAAAUGUGAGAUAUUUAGAUUAUCCAAAAUCCAACCUUUAUGACCAUGUUUACUUGUGAGACGAGCAACAUUUGAUAAAAGAAAAGUACUCAAGUAAUUUCCCAUGCUAAUGGUUGUUGAAUAAUAUGAUGUUCCAAGGCUUUUCGUUGAUUCAGGUGCUUGAUCGUAGAAGAACUCUGUCUUAGCAAUUUCCACAAACGUAUCAGCAAUCCCCAUCAAAGCGAAAUGAGGGACAAGAAUGAAAAUAGAAAGAGGGGUUGUAGCGAGCUUGCCUAAAAGAUUGUGUUCUCUUGCAACACUGAGUCUCUUCCUCUCUAUAAGACACGAAACAACCAUUACAAUGACGUGAAACACAACGCCAAUUCCUAGUCUUUGUAGCAUUGUAAUUCCUCUUGGAUUCUGUGUAGCGUCGGAUAAUAGGAACAAAAACAAAAUCAUAGAUUACAAUGCUUAUAACCAUGAAAAUAUGUACAAAUGCUAUGAGACUUGCUGGAGGGACUUUAAAAUGAGCUCCCAUUCUCCUGUCUAGAGUAGUGCCUUGUUUGACGAAGAGUGUGUUUGUUUGAGCAAAAAUUGUGCUUGGAAUACAUGAUGCAAUCAAUAUAGGGAUCAUUUUUGUCAUUUGUUUUGUUUCCUCAAUUUGUGUCACAGUACAAAGCAUCCAUGGUGAAGUUUGGUCGGUCUUCACUGCAGCUUUGUCAAGGAAUCUACAAACAUUUGUACAUGUUAUAACUAUAUACUUAUGAUGAUUUCACCUUAGAUUGAACUCAAGUCUGGUGUCCGACACAUGUUAGCAUCCAACACUAACACGACAUUCACAUUACAUGAUUACAUUCAAUCACUUCAAUUUUUCAAAAAAUCAUUACUAGUGUCUUUGUGUCAGAGUCGUGUUUGAUAUUUGUGUAUGUGUGUCAGACUUUCGGUGCUUGAUAGAUAAAUGUAAGACUUUCGGUGCUUGAUAGAUAAUAAAUUUAUGUGACAUGAAAAAACAAACUAAUUUAUGCAGUGAAACUUUAAGUGGUAAGAAAUAGUACUAAAAACUAACCUCAAUGAAGAGCUGUGAUUAAUUCUAUACCUUCCUUUACUAGUAUUAUACUCUUCAAUGCUCACCUCAUGCAACUCUUUUGGAUCAUUUGGGACAUUUAAGUUCCACUUUCUCAAGGCAGCCACAAAAACUUGAACCAUAUAUUCUGAUUAAAGGGCUUCCAGAAGGUAAUCUAUGUCUAUAAAGUGGUGUUCCAAACAAAAACACCAAUGUUGAAAAAACAAGCAAGAUGGUUGGAAUCCCAUAACCAAGGGCAAACCAACAUUGUCUUGUAUGUAGACUAAUCCUGUUUCGGCUAAAAUGCCUCCAGUUAUAAUGCAGAACACCCACCAAUUGAAAAAGGAAAGUUUUUGGGACCUCUCUUUAGGCUCAAACUCAUCAAAUUGGUCGGCUCCAGGUGUGGAGAUGUUGGGCUUAAUCCCCCCGUGCCUGCUGCAAUGAUGUACAAAGCAAAGAAGAAAAUACCAAUUUGUAGUGAUGAAGCUUUUUG